UACGUAGGUGGCAAGCGUUAUCCGGAUUUACUGGGUGUAAAGGGCGUGUAGGCGGGACUGCAAGUCAGAUGUGAAACCCAUGGGCUCAACCCAUGGCCUGCAUUUGAAACUGUAGUUCUUGAGUGAUGGAGAGGCAGGCGGAAUUCCGUGUGUAGCGGUGAAAUGCGUAGAUAUACGGAGGAACACCAGUGGCGAAGGCGGCCUGCUGGACAUUAACUGACGCAGAGGCGCGAAAGCGUGGGGAGCAAACAGG
rnacentral:rRNA from 1 species